UACGGAGGGUGCGAGCGUUGUCCGGAAUCACUGGGCGUAAAGGGCGCGUAGGCGGCCCGGUAAGUAGGAGGUGAAAUCCUGCGGCUUAACCGCAGGGCUGCCUUCUAAACUGCCAGGCUUGAGCACAGUAGAGGCAGGUGGAAUUCCCGGUGUAGCGGUGGAAUGCGUAGAGAUCGGGAAGAACACCGAUGGCGAAGGCAGCCCCCUGGGCUAACACUGACGCUGAGGCACGAAAGCGUGGGGAGCAAACAGG
rnacentral:rRNA from 1 species